rnacentral:rRNA from 1 species
GAGUUUGAUCCUGGCUCASAACGAACRCWGGCGGCGUGCUUAACACAUGCAAGUCGAAMRUGAUUCAGAGCUUGCUCUGAUGAAAGUGGCGCACGGGUGAGUAACGCGUGGAUAACCUGCCCUGGUAUCUGGGAUAACAUCUCGAAAGGGGUGCUAAUACCGGAUAAGCCCACGGGACCUUCGGGUUCUGCGGGAAAAGGAGGCCUCUAUUUAUAAGCUUCCGUACCAUGAUGGGUCCGCGUACCAUUAGCUAGUUGGUGGGGUAAUGGCCUACCAAGGCGACGAUGGUUAGCUGGUYUGAGAGGAUGAUCAKCCACMCYGGAACUGAGACACGGUCCAGACUCCUACAGGAGGCAGCAGUGGGGAAUUUUGCGCAAUGGGGGAAACCCYGACGCAGCAACGCCGCGUGAGUGAUGAAGGCUUUCGGGUCGUAAAGCUCUGUCAGAGGGGAAGAAAUGGGUCGUGCUAAUAUCGCGACUUCUUGACGGUACCCUCAAAGGAAGCACCGGMKAACUCCGUGCCAGCAGCCGCGGUAAUAC